rnacentral:rRNA from 1 species
GAUGAACGCUGGCGGCGUGCCUAAUACAUGCAAGUCGAGCGAACAGAUAAGGAGCUUGCUCCUUUGACGUUAGCGGCGGACGGGUGAGUAACACGUGGGUAACCUACCUAUAAGACUGGGAUAACUUCGGGAAACCGGAGCUAAUACCGGAUAAUAUUUCGAACCGCAUGGUUCGAUAGUGAAAGAUGGUUUUGCUAUCACUUAUAGAUGGACCCGCGCCGUAUUAGCUAGUUGGUAAGGUAACGGCUUACCAAGGCGACGAUACGUAGCCGACCUGAGAGGGUGAACGGCCACACUGGAACUGAGACACGGUCCAGACUCCUACGGGAGGCAGCAGUGGGGAAUCUUCCGCAAUGGGCGAAAGCCUGACGGAGCAACGCCGCGUGAGUGAUGAAGGUCUUCGGAUCGUAAAACUCUGUUAUUAGGGAAGAACAUACGUGUAAGUAACUGUGCACGUCUUGACGGUACCUAAUCAGAAAGCCACGGCUAACUACGUG